CUCCAGACUCCUACGGGAGGCAGCAGUGGGGAAUAUUGGGCAAUAGGCGCAAGCCUGACCCAGCAAUGCCGCGUGAAGGAAGAAGGCCCUCGGGUUGUAAACUUCUUUUAUCAGGGACGAAGGAUGUGACGGUACCUGAUGAAUAAGCUCCGGCUAACUACGUGCCAGCAGCCGCGGUAAUACGUAGGGAGCGAGCGUUGUCCGGAAUUACUGGGUGUAAGGGGAGCGUAGGCGGGCGAGAAAGUUGAAUGUUAAAUCUACCGGCUUAACUGGUAGCUGCGUUCAAAACUUCUUGUCUUGAGUGAAGUAGAGGCAGGCGGAAUUCCUAGUGUAGCGGUGAAAUGCGUAGAUAUUAGGAGGAACACCAGUGGCGAAGGCGGCCUGCUGGGCUUUAACUGACGCUGAGGCUCGAAAGUGUGGGUAUCAAACAGGAUUAGAUACCCCAGUAGC
rnacentral:rRNA from 1 species